rnacentral:rRNA from 1 species
UACAGAGGGUGCAAGCGUUAAUCGGAAUUACUGGGCGUAAAGCGUGCGUAGACGGUUGCGUAAGUCAGAUGUGAAAGCCCCGGGCUCAGCCUGGGAAUUGCAUUUGAGACUGCGUAGCUAGGGUGCGGAAGAGGGAAGCGGAAUUUCCGGUGUAGCGGUGAAAUGCGCAGAUAUCGGGAAGAACACCCGUGGCUAAGGCGGCUCUCUAGUACGGUACUGACGCUGAGACGCGAAAGCGUGGGGAGCGAACAGG